GGUGGGCGUAGUUCAGCUGGUUAGAGCGCCAGAUUGUGGAUCUGGAGGUCGAGGGUUCGAGCCCCUCCUCCCACCC
rnacentral:tRNA from 1 species